AAUGGCAGAUUUGAUUGUCACAUAAAGAAGUACAAUGCAGUGGAAAACUUUUUUUUCCCACAUAUCCCAGCUUGUAAGGAAGCCAGGGUCAGAGUGCCACGAUGCUAAACCCUGAGAGCACAGAGGGUUAAGGAUCUUACUCACUGCCCCAAAAGUGCAGGCUAGUGAUGAGCCAUGGGUGAUGAGUGUUUUACAGCAUUACAGCAGAAAUUACAAUGUAAAAACUGCCACAAUACUAUGUUCAAUGGCUAAUUUAACAAGUUAACACAGCAUGUCUAGAGGUAACUAGCACACCUGUAUCUUUUUAAGACAACAUCUUUUGUAAGGAAAGCUGCUGUCCUAAACCACCAGUUAGUUACACAUGUAACAGUGUAUAGAAAAAGGAAAAUGGUCAGUAGAUUAAUCAGUUAUAAGUACAACUGUACAGCUCUUCUUCCUCAUCAAUAACCUGGUCUUUAGAUUACAUGCAUAAUGCAGCAAGUUCUCUGUUCCAGCUCCAACAAUGAUGAGCACAUCUCCCCCCCGAUCACCUGUCACAAGUCUAAUUUAUUUUGCAUGAGAAAGCGAGCAUAUAAUAGUGGAUGUGGGAAGGAUUAGUGAAAGUAAACACUAUUAUCUGUGGGAGGUCACAUUCAAGCACCACGUGAGCGUGCAGUGCUGCUGUAAACAUGCAUGAGUCACCUCAGCAUUAAUAUAGCACUGUGGGAGGACCUUCGGAAAUGCAGAGGGAAAACUCAAUAUGGUUAUGUUGCACUGUUUUUAGUUCGGGGGAUCCUAAGGGAACGCAUGCGACUGUUUCACACAAAGAGUGGGUCAUGUUUGCUGAUCUGCUUUGGGAGUUCUCCUUUGCGAACGUGUCCGGAAGUGCACUGCAGGGGUGACUGAGUCGAGCUCCCUCCUGCUGUGACUGGCACUGUGCUGUACGGUCACGUUUAAGGAAGACUUCUUUGAGGCAAAUUCAUAUUCCUAAAGUCAAACCUUCUUCUUGGAAUGCACACAGAGCUCACUAGAAAAAGGUCUUGGUGCAGAGACCUCACACUCACCCUGCUUUUCCCCCUGCCUCCAUAUGAUUUGCCAGCGUAACAUCAUUGGACCAGACGUCAAACUGCCACUUUCUCAAACCCAAGACCCCACAGUGGACUCGGCCGCUAUGUAUCCCCACUCUCAUGUUCACGUUGACACCAGUAACUUCCCUCACCAAUCUUAGAAAACACACACACAAUUGCAAAAUUGUAAUGCAAAUUAAAAGCACAAUAGAGAAAACUACGGAUACAGCUCCCUCUUUAACACCACCACAGUGAGCCUAACACCAAGUGCUUCUCAUUUGUAUGUUUUUAACAGGCAGAGAAGCAUUCCCAGACAAUGUGGUAAUUACACUCAUUUUAUUACUAUUUACCAUGUUCUACACUGUCACAUACAAAAUGACCUCCUAAUGCUGUUAUCUGGAUUAAGCGCUUAGGAAAACAAGCAGUACCCUCUGACAGCUGAACUGCUGACCUCAGAUAGAUGGAUUCUUAUCAGAGGAUUUAUAAAUAAAAUAUCAUCAUGUCUAUGUCUAUCACUACUACCGCAAGCAGCCAAGCACCUCAGCCAAGCAUUCAGGCUUUACAAAUAUUUUGCAAUGAAUACACAAGGACAAGACAUAAGGUUGCAAAAAUCAGUAAUAAAUAUAUAAAUAAUACCAAUAAUAAGGUCAGAUUUCUCUAAACUGAUUUUAGCCUUGGUAAUAAGCGGCACAGCAAACAGAGAGAGUUAAACCCUCUGAACAUUGUGGGCGAUGGGCUUCUGUGUCACAACACAGCAAAGCAAAAAAUAAAUAAAUUUGCCAGCAUUUGGCUGCUUUGAAGGCGUCACAACAACGCAAGCAAUAGUGCAUGCAAUGUUUCUAUGCCCCGGAGAAAGAUAGGGUAAAACAGAUAUAAUGAAACGUGUUGUUCAUGCUUCAACACUAAUCCCACGUCAUGUUCGUACAUGGUUUAAAUGAGCUAUACCUUCAUUUUAUAUCAUGUAUUUAUCUCCCACUUGAUGUACAUUUGACUGAAUAAAAUGUCAGUGAAAAACAA